CAUACAGCUAAAUAUAUUUUUAUAAACUUUAAUUUUUAUACGUUGUUCUUAUAAAAAUUCUAAUAUUUUUAAAUAUAUUUCUCUUAUUUGUUACCGUUAUAGAACUGUUUAUAUUUUAAGUGAAAUGUCAUUCUUGCUAUCACAGAUAUAUUCUUUCAAAAGUCACAAUAGUAGAAUAUAAGAGGCAAAAAUAUCAAUUUAUCUCAUAAACUAAUCAGGAUUAAACAUUUAAUUUAUGAUUAAUUAAAGUUUUCUAACAGAUUCUAUAACGGUGGAUAUAUUCGAAAACAUUAGGAUUUUUAUAGGAAUAAUAUAUAAAAAUUAAAUUUUAUAGAAAUAUAUAAAUUAAUCCAAAAUAAAUAAUCAAUNUCAUAAACUAAUCAGGAUUAAACAUUUAAUUUAUGAUUAAUUAAAGUUUUCUAACAGAUUCUAACAUUAAGGAUAUAUUCGAAAACAUUAGGAUUUUUAUAGGAAUAAUAUAUAAAAAUUAAAUUUUAUAGAAAUAUAUAAAUU
rnacentral:lncRNA from 1 species